rnacentral:rRNA from 1 species
AUGCAGCCGAGCGGUAUUGUUUCUUCGGAAUGAGAGAGCGGCGUACGGAUGCGGAACACGUGUGCAACCUGCCUUUAUCUGGGGGAUAGCCUUUCGAAAGGAAGAUUAAUACUCCAUAAUAUAUUGAACGGCAUCGUUUAAUAUUGAAAGCUCCGGCGGAUAGAGAUGGGCACGCGCAAGAUUAGCUAGUUGGUGAGGUAACGGCUCACCAAGGCGAUGAUCUUUAGGGGGCCUGAGAGGGUGAUCCCCCACACUGGUACUGAGACACGGACCAGACUCCUACGGGAGGCAGCAGUGAGGAAUAUUGGUCAAUGGGUGCAAGCCUGAACCAGCCAUCCCGCGUGAAGGACGACUGCCCUAUGGGUUGUAAACUUCUUUUGUAUAGGGAUAAACCUACCCUCGUGAGGGUAGCUGAAGGUACUAUACGAAUAAGCACCGGCUAACUCCGUGCCAGCAGCCGCGGUAAUACGGAGGGUGCAAGCGUUAUCCGGAUUUAUUGGGUUUAAAGGGUCCGUAGGCGGACUUAUAAGUCAGUGGUGAAAGCCUGUCGCUUAACGAUAGAACUGCCAUUGAUACUGUAAGUCUUGAGUAUAUUUGAGGUAGCUGGAAUAAGUAGUGUAGCGGUGAAAUGCAUAGAUAUUACUUAGAACACCAAUUGCGAAGGCAGGUUACCAAGAUUAACUGACGCUGAGGACGAAGCGUGGGAGCGACAGGAU